GGUGGACCGAGGCGACUUCAAUAGCCCAUAUCUGUCACGAGUCUUGUCUAGUCCUUUGAGAGCCGGACAAGUACAUGUAGGAAAGUCCAUGUGAGCUCUCUGUGGAUCAGACACCAUGUCAUGUAUGUUACAGGCCUUUGUGAGCUCCUAUGGGGGAGCCGGGCACCGACAGUGGGAUUUUUGAUGUCAUGUCCAUCCUCUGAGAGGAAAGAUGCAUGCAAAAAGACAGACUCUCAGAAACCAGGGUCCGUGGGGAAUAAAUAUUGCAUAAGCCCCGAGGCGGACAAAACUAUGUGAUUUCUCUAUGUUAUGAUGCAUUUCAUGAAAGCAUGUAAUUAAUGAACUGUUUUCUCUGUUUCUACUCACUGGGCUUUUUAGCUCACCCCUUUCCCCUAACCCCAGUGUUGCAGGUUUAAGUCAGAGCUCAGAAGUCAGCAGGGUAAAGAUUAAGAGACGUGUGUUUUAUGUAAUAGUUAUGUUUAUGUAUCAGUUUAGUAGUUUUAGAAGUGGACAUGUAAUAUAAGUUGAUGUAAUGUAAUUUGAGAUAAUGUAUGUAACUGAUAGUAGAG
rnacentral:lncRNA from 1 species